rnacentral:lncRNA from 1 species
UCACCAGAUAAAAAAAAUCAAGAAAAAAAGUCUUUCAUAAUUAUACAAAAUGGAAUCGGAGAAAUAUAUAAUCAGUAAAUCUUCAUCUUCUUCUACUCUCUCCAAUUCUACUUCUUCGAUUCUUUUUUUUUUUUUUUUAAAUUCAAAUAUUCUGAUUCAUUUUCUUCCUUCUAUUUUAGUUUUUUUCUUUACCACCAAUCGGCACAUGUAUUCCAAUCACCCCAUGGGCAACACCACC